rnacentral:ncRNA from 2 species
UGAUGACAUUAGGGGAGCCCACCGGCUGAGACGCGAUUUAAGCGCGAACCCUUUGAACCUGAUCUGGUCAAAGCCAGUGUAGGGAAAUUGUCAGGGUGGUCCC